AUGUAUCUGGAGUUUGAAGCACUCCUGCUACUGAAAAGGUUGAUAUGGCUCAAGCAGCAACGUUUAUUUUACCCAUCAUACAUCAAAAGAAAAGAACAUGCAAUUCAAGGCAGGUUCAGUAAUGAAAAUACGUCAAUAUCAAAUCCAAACAAUAUUGUAAAACUCAAACUGAGGCUUCUCCAUAUGAUUCCAUGUGUGAGGGGCUUUUGA
rnacentral:lncRNA from 1 species